CCUACGGGAGGCAGCAGUGCGGAAUAUUGGUCAAUGGGCGCGAGCCUGAACCAGCCAAGUAGCGUGAAGGAUGACUGCCCUACGGGUUGUAAACUUCUUUUAUAAAGGAAUAAAGUGAGGCACGUGUGCCUUUUUGUAUGUACUUUAUGAAUAAGGAUAGGCUAACUCCGUGCCAGCAGCCGCGGUAAUACGGAGGAUCCGAGCGUUAUCCGGAUUUAUUGGGUUUAAAGGGCGCGUAGAUGGGUUCUUAAGUCAGGUGUGAAAGUUUGCGGCUCAACCGUAAAAUUGCAAUUGAUACUGGCAGCCUUGAGUACAGUUGAAGUAGGCGGAAUUCGUGGUGUAGCGGUGAAAUGCUUAGAUAUCAUGAAGAACUCCGAUUGCGAAGGCAGCUUACUAAACUGCCACUGACAUUGAUGCUCGAAAGUGUGGGUAUCAAACAGGAUUAGAUACCCCAGUAGUC
rnacentral:rRNA from 1 species